AUUGAACGCUGGCGGCAGGCUUAACACAUGCAAGUCGAACGAGUGGCGGACGGGUGCGUAAUGCUUGGGAAUCUAGCUUAUGGAGGGGAUUACUACGGGAAAUCGUAGCUCAUACCGGGUCCCAUAGGUGGAGCCCAAGUGGGAUUAGGUAGUUGGUGGGGUAAAGGCCAACCAAGCCGACGAUCUCUAGCUGGUUUGAGAGGAUAACCAGCCACACUGGGACUGAGACACGGCCCAGACUCCUACGUGAGGCAGCAGUGGGGAGUAUUGCGCAAUGGGGGCAACCUGACGCAGCCAUGCCGCGUGAAUGAAGAAGGCCUUCGGGUUGUAAAGUUCUUUCGGUAGAGAGGCGUUAACUACAGAAGAAGCACCGGCUAACUCCGUGCCAGCAGCCGCGGUAAUAC
rnacentral:rRNA from 1 species